rnacentral:rRNA from 1 species
GACGAACGCUGGCGGCGUGCUUAACACAUGCAAGUCGAACGGAAAGGCCCUGCUUUUGUGGGGUGCUCGAGUGGCGAACGGGUGAGUAACACGUGAGUAACCUGCCCUUGACUUUGGGAUAACUUCAGGAAACUGGGGCUAAUACCGGAUAGGAGCUCCUGCUGCAUGGUGGGGGUUGGAAAGUUUCGGCGGUUGGGGAUGGACUCGCGGCUUAUCAGCUUGUUGGUGGGGUAGUGGCUUACCAAGGCUUUGACGGGUAGCCGGCCUGAGAGGGGGACCGGCCACAUUAGGACUGAGAUACGGCCCAGACUCCUACGGGAGGCAGCAGUGGAGAGUAUUGCACAGUGGGCGGAAGCCUGAUGCAGCAACGCCGCGUGCGGGAAGACGGCCAUGGGGUUGUAAACCGCUUUCGCCUGUGACGAAGCGUGAGUGACGGUAAUGGGUAAAGAAGCACCGGCUAACUACGUG